UCCACACCAUAUUAUCUUCUUUCAAGGGUUUUACAAGGAACACAAAGACAAUCAACUGAUUCAAUAGCAAUUAAAUGUCUGCAAAUUCAGGUCGUCAAGUAAUCUACCUCCAUGAAUUUGCGUGGGAACCCUCAUUUCUUCCCACUUUUCUUGAGCCCAGCACCUCCAAAGGUCCCCUUCUGUUGAGCCUUUGCUCUAAGAUCUCUGAGAGCCUUUUCCUCUUCCUUCUUCUUUUGAAUAUUGGCGAGAUCAACCUCGUCAUAAUCUUUCUUGUCAACCUUGGGUUGCUUCAGAGGCUUUGCUUUCCCUCCUUGCUUGGACGACAUGGCUAGAUAUCAAGAGGGUUUGGCCUAAGUCGAAGAGCACAAAGAGGGAUCGCCCGCGGGCGGCAAUUGACGGCUCCCAAAGUAACACAACCGGCUACUUUCCCGAAGAAGCAGAGGCAGAAGGAGAAGCAGAAGCA
rnacentral:misc_RNA from 1 species